rnacentral:rRNA from 1 species
UGAGGAAUAUUGGACAAUGGGUGAGAGCCUGAUCCAGCCAUCCCGCGUGAAGGACGACGGCCCUAUGGGUUGUAAACUUCUUUUGUACAGGGAUAAACCUACCCUCGUGAGGGUAGCUGAAGGUACUGUACGAAUAAGCACCGGCUAACUCCGUGCCAGCAGCCGCGGUAAUACGGAGGGUGCAAGCGUUAUCCGGAUUUAUUGGGGUUUAAAGGGGUCCGUAGGCGGAUCUGUAAGUCAGUGGUGAAAUCUCACAGCUUAACUGUGAAACUGCCAUUGAUACUGCAGGUCUUGAGUAAAUUUGAAGUGGCUGGAAUAAGUAGUGUAGCGGUGAAAUGCAUAGAUAUUACUUAGAACACCAAUUGCGAAGGCAGGUCACUAAGAUUUAACUGACGCUGAUGGACGAAAGCGUGGGGGGCGAACAGGAUUAGAUACCCUGGUAGUCCACGCCGUAAACGAUGCUAACUCGUUUUUGGGUUUUUCGGAUUCAGAGACUAAGCGAAAGUGAUAAGUUAGCCACCUGGGGAGUACGUUCGCAAGAAUGAAACUUAAAUGAAUUGACGGGGUC